GACGAACGCUGGCGGCGUGCUUAACACAUGCAAGUCGAACGGAAAGGCCCUGCUUUUGUGGGGUGCUCGAGUGGCGAACGGGUGAGUAACACGUGAGUAACCUGCCCUUGACUUUGGGAUAACUUCAGGAAACUGGGGCUAAUACCGGAUAGGAGCUCCUGCUGCAUGGUGGGGGUUGGAAAGUUUCGGCGGUUGGGGAUGGACUCGCGGCUUAUCAGCUUGUUGGUGGGGUAGUGGCUUACCAAGGCUUUGACGGGUAGCCGGCCUGAGAGGGUGACCGGCGCGCUGGGGAGGGGGAUACGGCCCGGCCGAGGGCAGGGGGCAGUGGUGGGGUAUAGUGCACGAUGGGCGGAAGCCUGAUGCAGCAGCGCGGGGGGGGGGAUGACGGCCGUGGGGUGUUAGGCCGCUGGCUCCUGUGAGGAGGCGUGAGGGGGGGUAAGGGAAAAAGAAGCCCCGGCUAACUACGUGCGGGCCGCCGCGGUAAGAGAUGGACCACACACGCUUGAAC
rnacentral:rRNA from 1 species